GAUGAACGCUGGCGGCGUGCCUAAUACAUGCAAGUCGAGCGAAUGGAUUAAGAGCUUGCUCUUAUGAAGUUAGCGGCGGACGGGUGAGUAACACGUGGGUAACCUGCCCAUAAGGCUGGGAUAACUCCGGGAAACCGGGGCUAAUACCGGAUAACAUUUUGAACCGCAUGGUUCGAAAUUGAAAGGCGGCUUCGGCUGUCACUUAUGGAUGGACCCGCGUCGCAUUAGCUAGUUGGUGAGGUAACGGAUCACCAAGGCAACGAUGCGUAGCCGACCUGAGAGGGUGAUCGGCCACACUGGGACUGGGACCCGGCCCAGACUCCUACGGGAGGCAGCAGUAGGGAAUCUUCCGCAAUGGACGAAAGUCUGACGGAGCAACGCCGCGUGAGUGAUGAAGGCUUUCGGGUCGUAAAACUCUGUUGUUAGGGAAGAACAAGUGCUAGUUGAAUAAGCUGACACCUUGACGGUACCUAACUAGAAAGCCACGGCUAACUACGUGCCAGCAGCCGCAGUAA
rnacentral:rRNA from 1 species